rnacentral:rRNA from 1 species
GAUGAACGCUAGCUACAGGCUUAACACAUGCAAGUCGAGGGGCAGCAUGAACUUAGCUUGCUAAGUUUGAUGGCGACCGGCGCACGGGUGAGUAACACGUAUCCAACCUGCCGAUGACUCGGGGAUAGCCUUUCGAAAGAAAGAUUAAUACCCGAUGGCAUAGUUCUUCCGCAUGGUAGAACUAUUAAAGAAUUUCGGUCAUCGAUGGGGAUGCGUUCCAUUAGCUUGUUGGCGGGGUAACGGCCCACCAAGGCAUCGAUGGAUAGGGGUUCUGAGAGGAAGGUCCCCCACAUUGGAACUGAGACACGGUCCAAACUCCUACGGGAGGCAG